rnacentral:rRNA from 1 species
AUUGAACGCUGGCGGCAUGCUUUACACAUGCAAGUCGAACGGCAGCACAGGGAGCUUGCUCCCGGGUGGCGAGUGGCGCACGGGUGAGUAAUACAUCGGAACGUGUCCUGUUNUGGGGGAUAACUGCUCGAAAGGGUGGCUAAUACCGCAUGAGACCUGAGGGUGAAAGCGGGGGAUCGCAAGACCUCGCGCAAUUGGAGCGGCCGAUGCCCGAUUAGCUAGUUGGUGAGGUAAAGGCUCACCAAGGCGACGAUCGGUAGCUGGUCUGAGAGGACGACCAGCCACACUGGGACUGAGACACGGCCCAGACUCCUACGGGAGGCAGCAGUGGGGAAUAUUGGGCAAUGGGGGAAACCCUGACCCAGCAACGCCGCGUGAAGGAAGAAGGCUUUCGGGUUGUAAACUUCUUUUACCAGGGACGAAGAAAGUGACGGUACCUGGAGAAAAAGCCACGGCUAACUACGUG